GACGAAGGAUGCAAGCGUUAUCCGGAUUCAUUGGGUUUAAAGGGUGCGUAGGCGGACCAGUAAGUCAGUGGUGAAAUCUCUUUGCUUAACAAAGAAACUGCCAUUGAUACUGCUAGUCUAGAGUAUAGAUGACGUUGGCGGAAUAUGACAUGUAGUGGUGAAAUACUUAGAUAUGUCAUAGAACACCGAUUGCGAAGGCAGCUAACGAAACUAUAACUGACGCUGAGGCACGAAAGUGCGGGGAUCAAACAGG
rnacentral:rRNA from 1 species